rnacentral:rRNA from 1 species
CGUUCAGUUACUUGACGUAGACCCGAAACCGGGCGACCUACCCAUGAGCAGGAUGAAGCGAAAGUAAAAUUUCGUGGAGGUCCGAACCCACGAGCGUUGAAAAGCUCGGGGAUGACUUGUGGGUAGCGGUGAAAUUCCAAUCGAGCCCGGAGAUAGCUGGUUCUCCCCGAAAUAGCUUUAGGGCUAGCCUCAAGGUGAGAGAUACGGAGGUAGAGCACUGAAUGUCCUAGGGGGUAUUGCACCUACCGAAGACUAUCAAACUCCGAAUGCCGUCAUCUUAUACUUGGGAGUCAGACUGUGGGUGAUAAGAUUCAUAGUCGAAAGGGCAACAGCCCAGAUCGUCAGCUAAGGUCCCUAAAUGUAAGUUAAGUGGUAAAGGAUGUGGGAUUGCACAGACAACCAGGAUGUUGGCUUAGAAGCAGCCACUCAUUCAAAGAGUGCGUAAUAGCUCACUGGUCGAGUGAUCCUGCGCCGAAGAUUUCCGGGGCUAAAACUUACUACCGAAGCUACGGCAUCAGUAAUGAUGGGUAGGGGAGCUUCCCAUACGGGUUGAAGCAUGACCGUAAGGACAUGUGGACAGUAUGGGAGUGAGAAUGUUGGC